rnacentral:rRNA from 1 species
AUAAUGGGUCAGCGACUUAUAUUCUGUAGCAAGGUUAACCGAAUAGGGGAGCCGAAGGGAAACCGAGUCUUAACUGGGCGUUAAGUUGCAGGGUAUAGACCCGAAACCCGGUGAUCUAGCCAUGGGCAGGUUGAAGGUUGGGUAACACUAACUGGAGGACCGAACCGACUAAUGUUGAAAAAUUAGCGGAUGACUUGUGGCUGGGGGUGAAAGGCCAAUCAAACCGGGAGAUAGCUGGUUCUCCCCGAAAGCUAUUUAGGUAGCGCCUCGUGAAUUCAUCUCCGGGGGUAGAGCACUGUUUCGGCAAGGGGGUCAUCCCGACUUACCAACCCGAUGCAAACUGCGAAUACCGGAGAAUGUUAUCACGGGAGACACACGGCGGGUGC